AUGAACGCUGGCGGCGUGCCUAAUACAUGCAAGUCGAGCGAACGGACGAGAAGCUUGCUUCUCUGAUGUUAGCGGCGGACGGGUGAGUAACACGUGGAUAACCUACCUAUAAGACUGGGAUAACUUCGGGAAACCGGAGCUAAUACCGGAUAAUAUUUUGAACCGCAUGGUUCAAAAGUGAAAGACGGUCUUGCUGUCACUUAUAGAUGGAUCCGCGCUGCAUUAGCUAGUUGGUAAGGUGACGGCUUACCAAGGCAACGAUGCAUAGCCGACCUGAGAGGGUGAUCGGCCACACUGGAACUGAGACACGGUCCAGACUCCUACGGGAGGCAGCAGUAGGGAAUCUUCCGCAAUGGGCGAAAGCCUGACGGAGCAACGCCGCGUGAGUGAUGAAGGUCUUCGGAUCGUAAAACUCUGUUAUUAGGGAAGAACAUAUGUGUAAGUAACUGUGCACAUCUUGACGGUACCUAAUCAGAAAGCCACGGCUAACUACGUG
rnacentral:rRNA from 1 species